UAUUGUUAAUUUAAAUAUAUACUUUCUAAAAUAUCUUUGUAAAAUAUCUUUUAUCGAACGUAGUUUCUCAAUUUUCACUCGCGAACAUCACGAUGCGCACGCAAACACAAAGUUGCCAACCUUUCUCACGAUAUGAUCCCCAAGAAAAAGAAAAGUCACAAAACAUUCCUUAUAGUGUCGAGUCAAUAAAUAUUAAUAAUUUGUACAAUUAUGUAAUAACUUUAUACAAAAACUAUGAUAAACUUUUGAAUCGAAAUUGACAAUGAUUUAAUACUUCAACGAUACAAAUAAUCUAAAGAAUUUCUAUCCAACGAUAACCUAACCUAACUUAGCUACAAAUCGAAGCUUCAAUGCGCGAGAGUAACCUUUAGAUCGUGCAAUAUGCCGCGGUGCGGCGCAGCAUUCGUUUCAUUAAAAGUCGAUGUUACGACACAGAGGUGUGCUCGAUCGCUCGCGCAGAUCUAGGCAUGCGACCUAGACCCGACCUUUCCCAAGUUCCUGACGGAAAUAAGGCUAAUACAGCUACCGACACUUAGCUUCGGUAAUCGAACCAAGGAAUAAACGACGUUCCAGCCGCGAUCACGGAGCCACUCGAAUUACGAGAACGAUUCAAUCGAUUUCACGGUGCACUUUCUAAGAAUAUUUCCACGCCUUUGCUGGAGGACUUCCGGUACAACAAAACAUUUCGUACCUGCAUUCGAUCAAUCGAAGAAUAAACUUUCGAUAUUCAAAUAAUAAAACAAAAUUUAAUUUAAUAGUAUGAUUAGAAAUUAAAAACGAUAGAUUAUAAUCCAUGCAACUUUUUAAUUAUUAAAUAUUAUAAUUAGAAGAAAAACUUUAAUAAUGAAGAAUUUAUUGCUAUGAUAUUAAGGUAAUUCUAAAAAAAGAUCAAUAAGAAAAUGUCAGCGCUAAAGAGCAAAUGUUUUCCUUAUUUAAAUAUUCUUCUUUCUUUUAAUUCAAAGUAAAUUGACUAUAAUAUAUAACUGUAUUUCAUUUUCUAUUUUUAAAAAAGAAAGAUAUUCAUUCCUCGCUGCGAACGAUCUCGAUCUUGUCACAGAUGGAUAACCAUUGGAAUUAUUUAUAAAUGCGACGCCCUUACUUCAGUCGACGACCGAACGUAGCUCGUGUCGAGCUUUUACCGACCGGUAUGCGGCUCUCGGGCCAAUAUUUCACGGGAUAAUAAGGAACAAACAGCGUUUCCUUGUUCCGGGCGACGCCGAGAGUGUUAUUAUACUAUGGCGGCGGGUUGAAGGUGGCGAUGGCGGAAAUUCGUUCGGCCAAAGGCCACACGGUCUCGACCAAUAAAGCGUAAAUGGAUUAGUCUCUAAGCCGCUGAUACGACUACGGAAAUCCAAAGUGGAACGGGGAGAAGAUUCCGUACAAUCUCGGCGAAUCCACUGUCAACGGACACUCUCAGAAGCCAUUACAUACAUCUUCCUUAUCCGACCGACUGGAAACAAAUUUCUUGCGUUUACGAUCCUCUCUUUCGCGAUUUCUCUUUAUUCUGUAUAUUUAAAGAUAAUUUCUUGAUAAGAUAUAAAAAUAAAAAAUUCCGUUUUACCUUUCUUAAUCUUCUUCUUUUUCUUCUUUCUUUUAUCAAGAAAAAACUUUAUCUUAUUUCUUUACUCUUGGUUUAAAUUUAUUUCAACUUGUACGUUAUAGAAGUUUGUUUUAUCGAAGCAGGGAUAGUAUGUGUAACAUGUUCUUAGAGUGACCGGAUUUUAUCUUGAGAAAUGUACAAGGAAUUAAAUUUUCCAAAAGAUCACGCAAAUUAA
rnacentral:lncRNA from 1 species